rnacentral:misc_RNA from 1 species
UACGGAGGGUCCACGCGUUGUCCGGAAUUAUUGGGUGUCAAGGGUCCGCAGGCGGGACAGCAAGUCGGAGGUGAAAUCUCUCGGCUCCACCGAGAAAGUGCCUUCGAUACUGCUGUCCUUGAGUCCCGGAGAGGCUCCGGGAAUUCGUGGUGUAGCGGUGAAAUGCGUAGAUAUCACGAGGAACACCAGAAGCGAAAGCGAGGAGCUGGACGGGUACUGACGCUCAGGGACGAAAGCGUGGGGAGCAAACAGG